AGUUAAUUAACUUAAUAAAAGUUUAUAUUUUGAAAAUAUAAUAUAUAAGUUAGAGUCUUAUAUUAACUU
rnacentral:tRNA from 1 species